rnacentral:rRNA from 1 species
CCUGAACGCUGGCGGCGUGGCUAAGACAUGCAAGUCGAACGGGUGUAGCAAUACACCAGUGGCGGACGGGUGAGUAAUGUAUCGCUAACGUGCCCUGGAAUCUGAGAUAGCCAAUCGAAAGGUUGGGUAAUACCAGAUGAAAUAUCCUUAUCGCAUGAUGAGGAUCUCAAAGGAGCAAUCCGGUCUGGGAGCGGGCGAUAUCGUAUCAGCUAGUUGGUGAGGUAACGGCUCACCAAGGCGACGACGCGUAGCCGGGCUGAGAGGUCGGCCGGCCACAUUGGGACUGAGACAC